CCACCUCCAGCCAUCACCCUCCACCACCCACGACCAUCACCGACCAUCCACCGCCACCACACCACCCCACACCACCGCCACAACCACCAUUUACCCCACACCAUCUGCCACCGUUACCACCUAGCGGCGUCACCGCCUUUAUCUCUGUACGAUUCCACUGUUGGUGAUGUUUGAAUCAACGAACAUCGAUGGUGUUUCUAAGAAAAUCAAAGAUUCGUCUCAGAUCUCUUAUAUAAAUUGAGAUCCCCAUUUUUUAUUCGAUUUAGGGUUUUUGAAAUCUCCACAGAAGAAAAUUUUGAAAUCUCCCCAAUUUGUUAUUCGAUCUGAUGAUGGGACUCUUACUAAUUUUAAGUUUUGAUUCAGACUAAUGAAUAGUUGGAGUUUAUGAAGGCGGAGAUUCGGAUCUCGUCGAUGUGUUAAUCAUUUGAAUCUGCUUCCGUUGCUUGAUCAUGCCAUUAUUCCAGUAAAGGUAGUGCUUAUCACAUCUUCGUUUGUGCUUAUCCAAGCGGAAUCUUUUGGAGAUCUCUAGUAGAGUUUUGGAAAGAUGGCCCCACCGAGGGAUUUGAUUGAUUGGUUGAUAUGUGAUUUGAGUUUUGGGAAAGAACUCGAGAAGGCUGUAAUGGUGGUGGUGUUUGAUUUUAUUCGUUAUGAGAUGGGUAUUAUUCUGAUA